UCCUCAUUUUUGGGGGGAAUUUCCCCAUUUUUGGGGUGAAUUUCCCCAUUUUUGGGGGUGAAUUUCCUCAUUCUGGGGUGAAUUUCCCCAUUUUUGGGGGGAAUUUCCUCAUUUUUGGGGUGAAUUUCCCCAUUUCUGGGGUGAAUUUCCGCAUUUCUGGGGUGAAUUUCCCCAUUUUGGGGGUGAAUUUCCUCAUUUUUGGGGGGAAUUUCUCCAUUUUGGGGGGAAUUUCCUCAUUUCUGGGGUGAACUUCCUCAUUUUUGGGGUGAUUUUCCCCAUUUCUGGGGUGGAUUUCCCAAUUUUUGGGGGGAAUUUCCUCAUUUUUGGGGUGAAAUUCCUCAUUUUUGGGGUGAACAUCCUCAUUUUUGGGGUGAAUUUCCCCAUUUUUGGGGGUGAAUUUCCCCAUUUCUGGGGGUGAAUUUCCUCAUUUUUGGGGUGAAUUUCCCCAUUUCUGGGGUGAAUUUCCCCAUUUCUGGGGUAAAUUUCCUCAUUUUUGGGGUGAUUUUCCCCAUUUCUGGGGUGAAUUUCCCAAUUUUUGGGGGGAAUUUCCUCAUUUUUGGGAUGAAUUUCCUCAUUUUUGGGGUGAAUUUCUCCAUUUUGGGGUGAAUUUUCCAUUUUUGGGGGUGAAUUUCCCCAUUUCUGGGGUGAACUUCCUCAUUUUUGGGGUGAAUUUCCUCAUUUUUGGGGGUGAAUUUCCCCAUUUUUGGGGUGAAUUUCCCCAUUUUUGGGGUUUCUCAGAGUCGUGACCCCUCGUUUUUAGGGCUUCUCACACCCGGGGUUCCACUUUUGGGGCAAAUUUGUCCAUUUUUUGGGGGGGUCCUC
rnacentral:lncRNA from 1 species